UGUUUACACCGGUUCUCGUACGAUCACCGAAGUUAAGAAACAUCGAACCUAGUCACUACCAAGAUGGGUGACCGCUUGGGAAUGCCCGGUGCUGAAA